AAAUUCUCGAAAGCCUGGCUACUAAUAACGACUGUGCAGCAUUUCCGCACGGUUGAGAAGCAAAUACAGCUCCUUGCUGGGUAAGAUACCGCAAGUUCCUGCAUGCAAACACGAUUGUUUUAUCACUGUGUUUUAUGAUGUAUGGGCGUGGACUUAAGAUUUGCGAGGCCUACGUCAUGCUGCGCCGCGGAGCCAACUCCACUGCUAUUUGCAGAGACCACCGCACGGCUCGGAGCCAUCGACUGGUCGGCUGGUCCAUCAAGCACAAUGCACAGACGCCCCUCAGCGAAGGUCAUACGCGGUUUCCCAUGAUGACUGCUGUCACAGGAAGUCAAAGGCGGGCCCUU
rnacentral:lncRNA from 1 species